UCCCCGGUAGCUCAGCGGUAGAGCAGGUGACUGUUAAUCACUUGGUCGGUGGUUCGAUCCCGCCCCGGGGAG
rnacentral:tRNA from 1 species